rnacentral:rRNA from 1 species
CCUACGGGUGGCAGCAGUGAGGCAUAUUGGUCAAUGGACGAGAGUCUGAACCAGCCAAGUAGCGUGAAGGAUGACUGCCCUAUGGGUUGUAAACUUCUUUUAUAUGGGAAUAAAAUGUUCCACGUGUGGGUUUUUGUCUGUACCAUAUGAAUACGGAUCGGCUAACUCCGUGCCAGCAGCCGCGGUAAUCCGGAGGAUACGAGCGUUAUCCGGAAUUCUUGGGUGUAAAGGGAGCGUAGGUGGAUUGUUAAGUCAGUUGUGAAAGUUUGCGGCUCAACCGUAAAAUUGCAGUUGAAACUGGCAGUCUUGAGGACAGUAGAGGUGGGCGGAAUUCGUGGUGUAGCGGUGAAAGGCUUAGAUAUCACGAAGAACUCCGAUUGCGAAGGCAGUUCACUGGACUGCAACUGACACUGAGGCUCGAAAGUGUGGGUAUCAAACAGGAGUAGAUACCCUUGGAGUC